GGGCAAACUGGAGCAGCAAAGAAGGAGAAUUUUGGUUAAGAACAAUCGUCCUGACAGUAUUUCUCCGCUUGAGCUCGUAAACCAAUGGUUGUACCAAGCUGGUAAAAUAUGAAAUGUAGUAAUGCAGCAUGAGCAUGUGUAAUUUAUUAAGACCAGGGUCUGUAACCUUCAACACUUACAGAGCCAUUCAGGUUGAUUUCUGACCAACUACAACCUGUUAGGAACCACAAAGUCUCACUUCAUUGUUUAGGGAAAUACAACAGUGAUUUGUAUUUAUGUUAUUGUUACUAUGAUUAAAAUAUAAGCAGACAUUUUUUUGACAUAAAGAGAAAACAGCUUUUUUUUCUGGAAAUGAAAUAUUUCAUAACUUUUUCCAGAAGUUCACAUGACUUCCUUUUAAAAUAAGACCUCCUGUGCCUCAUCUCAAUCCAGCAAAUGUAGAAGGUAGUCAGCAGUCAUUAAAAAACAAUGUGUUUCUUUUUGUUGGUGCACAUCAGACAUAAAUUAAUAAACCGAACUAACUAAAAUUAAACCAAUCACUCAUUUUUUUUCAAAAACAGAAGCUCCUCCCUAUAUUCCAUAUGACAAAACUACUGAUUAUUUAGAAUCUGAUAAAGCACUGAUACUUUAACUAAGACAGCUGUAUGUCAUUUACUACAAACCACUGUGUCCAGCUUGUUCAAUAUGAACAAGUGUGUUGUGACAGUGUGAAACAAGCUGAGGAUUGUGUCUAGGCCAUGUCUAUCCUGCCAACAAACACACCGGACCUUGUUUCUGGUCAGUGGGAGUUCAGCCUGUCAGCGUCACUUGAAGGCUGCUUUGCUAUUCAAAUGCCAACCAGAGGAGAAGUAGCAGAGAGAAAAUGGAACCAUGGAGGGACAAACAAAUGCUUAUCUGAGUUUCUGAGAAACCACAUCAGUUUAGACAUAUAGCCAUGGUGAGGAUAUUUUUUUCAGUAAGUGACUGAAGUCUAAUAUUUAGAUUUUUGUGUUCUAAAUUUUUAAUCAGAGCUUGAACACAAUUAAUCAUUUCAUGUCAUAAAAUGUGUCCUGCUCUCACACCUCAAGACUCGAGUGUGCUAAAGGACACCAAUGAUUAGAUCACUCUUCAGGAAAACAGCAGAUUCAAAAACACAUUCCAUGACUAGCACGCAGAAGCCAGCAGAAUAACAAGGGCAUUGAUGGCUAAUGAUUAUUAACCUCACAGCACACAUAGUAGGCGGGCCCGAGUGCGCGUACAUCUUGUACAUAUGUUGGAGGAACAAAAUCUGUUAGCACACCAACACUGGACUCACCUGACUUCAUACUUUGGCUCAAGGUUAAGCUCUGAGUCACCGUUUUUUGGAUGAUCAAUUAGUGAUUUUAAUGAGACUGCAGGAAAUGUCUUUCUGUCCCUGUAAAGUUCCCUGAAUCAAUGCAAAAAUCAUGUAUGAGAAAACAAGAGAUCGUCAGUCUACGAGGACUGCUGUCUGCUGAGUUUCAGGAUUAUGUUCACUGGAACUGGUUUUGUUCCAAAAAGAAAUGUAAGCAACUCAUCCAGUUUCUGUAAUCAGCCAAACAUAUUUUCAGCUUUUUCUCCUCUUUCUUUCUUUGUUCAUUUUACUAACAGAGCUCUUAACUCCUGCAACUGAACAAAGUAUGUGAGCGCUUUGUGAUGAACAAAGCAAGAUGUAAUCUUUUUGCUUCUAAACUUUCAGCCUGAGACAUCAAGUCGUGGUCAAGCCGAUUUGAUGGAGAGAUCUCACGUUUUCCCCAACCUGCCGUGCUGCUACAGUCUCUCUGUUUUUGCUCAUUUCUUACAUUUUUCUCCAAAAGGUCCAUGAUGCAUUGCGCCUUUAGCCAAAACUCCUUGCGGCUGCAGGUUAGGAAAAUAAGCCAUUAACUCUUAUUACCCUGGGGCUUUUUUAAGCUUUUUGAUUUUUAUAAUUUGCUCCAAUGUAAGAUUAGAGUAUUAGGGCCACCAAAAAAAGUAAUAAUACAAGUUUUUUUUCUUGUAAAUUUACUUUUUUUAAUCUCGUAAAUUUACAAAAUUAAAGUCCAAGUGAGCCUACAGUCCAACGAAUGAACGCUGUGAGCAGCAGCAGACCGACUAAACUGUGAAAAGCGUCUUUGAUUUCAACAGGUGAGCUGAAUGUUUAAAACAUUAUAAAUGUUCGGAAACAUGUUUGUUUGAUUUACAGUUUAUUAAUGUUUUAUUCAUUGAUGGGUGGCUUGCAGGAUCUCUGCAGAGCACGCUGAUGAAGCAUCGAUAUCCUCGCAGAUGUCCACUUCCAGUCAUUUCUCCCUCCACAAAAGACAAGAUCUCCUCCAACUCUGCAUGGACGUUUCAUUUGGAGAAGGGGGCGUAUGCAACACUUCAUUCUCUACAUUCUCCUUUGGUGUUCUUUCUGACAAGACAGAGACAUGACGUAAGGUGGCGAAUGGGCUUCUGGGUAUGUGAAUUGAAAGGGCAAAAUAAAGAACAAAGUGGUUGUC